GGGGGAAUAUUGGGCAAUGGGCGAAAGCCUGACCCAGCGACGCCGUGUGGGCGAUGAAGGCCUUCGGGUUGUAAAGCCCUGUCGGAUGGGAAGAAGGGUCCGGAGGUGAAUAAUCUCCGGAUUUUGACGGUACCAUCGGAGGAAGCACCGGCUAACUCCGCGCCAGCAGCCGCGGUAAUACGGAGGGUGCAAGCGUUGUUCGGAAUUACUGGGCGUAAAGGGCGCGUAGGUGGUUCUGUAAGUCAGAUGUGAAAUCCUUCAGCUCAACUGGAGAACUGCAUCUGAUACUGCAGGACUAGAGUGCAGGAGAGGGAAACGGAAUUCCAGGUGUAGAGGUGAAAUUCGUAGAUAUCUGGAGGAACACCGGUGGCGAAGGCGGUUUCCUGGCCUGACACUGAC
rnacentral:rRNA from 1 species